GAGUUGUUUGUAUAAACAUUGAACGACAAAACUAUGUGACGUAUUAAUUUUCUGAAAUGUCAGACACGCGAAAUUGUUUCUUUUAAAACUGUAACACGAUGAUGACUGCUGUACCCAUGUUUUGACUAAUUUAUUUAGUGUGCCUGUUUGGUUCACGCAUCGUUGUAAAUUAAGGGAAUUUGAUGACACUGUCGUACAAAGUGAGAGGUUAAGCGCUUUUAAAGCAGGUUUAAUCCACCAUUUUCUACUUGAAAAAUGCCUGUCAGGAAUAUGAAAGUUGUUAUCACUUAGUUUGGUGUGUUUGAGCACUUGAUUUUGCCACUUGAUUAGGAUUUAUAUCUAGAAAUUGACUAUGAAGGUCGCUUGAAAACAAAACUUUAUGACAAAGGAUUGUUCAAGUAAUUGUAAUUUACUGCAUUACAUUACAAUGUCUUAGCUUCAACAGUCUGAAUUUGUACUUGACCAGUUCCUAACAUUUUUAUACGAGUCUGAACCAUGCUCAAUCAAGUCAGAACCGUACUCGACCUAGUCUGAACCACACUCGACCUAGUCUGAACCAUACUCGACCUAGACCUAUUCUUUGUAUCUAUCAACUGAAUUUAAUGAAUUUAGGAAAUAUUUUCAAUAAAAAUUGAAACUUGAACAACAACUUGAUAUUAACAAUGUAUUCAAUAUAGUAUUGAAAUUAAAAUUUCACGAUAAUCAAUCAUAAAAUAACUUUAACACAAUAUCAACAAACACUUACAUAAUAAUAUAUGUCAACCUUAAAAUACAAAUAAAACAAGGACUUAGUUUAACAUAGGACUCUAUGUGAAAUAUAUACAAAUGUCUUCUUUUAGAGAACCACUGAAUGUUCCUUAUGAGGUGUUGACCAAGUGUUGUUACUUUGUAGCCGAUCCAUCAUCCAGGAUGGCCGCGGGGACAUAGUUUAACAUAGCUCACUUAUAGUGGGAAAUGCAUACAAAUGACUUCUUUUAGAGAACCACUGAAUGGAAUGAAACCAAACAUGGCAUGAAUGUUCCUUAUGAGAUGCUGACCAAGUGUUUUUACUUUGUAGCCGAUCUGUCAUCCAAAAUGGACGCCAGCGGUGGACUUAGUUUAACAUAGGACCUUUGGCUAUCGGAAAUAUAUACAAAUGUCUUCUUUAAGAGAACCUGACUGGAAGAACCAACCAUCAUGAAAGUUCCUUAUGAGGUACUGAUCAAGUGUUGUUACUUUGUAGCCGAUCCAUUAUCCAAGAUGGCCGCCAGCGGGGGACUUAGUUUAACAUAGGACCC
rnacentral:lncRNA from 1 species